UACGUAGGGUGCGAGCAUUAAUCGGAAUUACUGGGCGUAAAGCGUGUGCAGGCGGUCUGUUAAGACAGGUGUGAAAUCCCCGGGCUUAACCUGGGAAUGGCGCUUGUUACUGGCAGACUAGAGUGCGUCAGAGGGGGGUGGAAUUCCACGUGUAGCAGUGAAAUGCGUAGAGAUGUGGAGGAACACCGAUGGCGAAGGCAGCCCCCUGGGAUGACACUGACGCUCAUACACGAAAGCGUGGGGAGCAAACAGG
rnacentral:rRNA from 1 species